UUUCGUUGUGUGUUUUUGCUCUCAAGCAUUUUCCAUGAACUGCGUGUGGAUUCAUUGCCUGCAUCGGAUGACAAAGACUUGAAUGUUGCUACUAAGUGUGUCCCCGAGAAAGUGUCAGAGCCUUUACCUGGAUCUUCGCAUGAAAAAGGAAACAGAAUAGUCAAUGGACAAGGAGAAGGGCCUCCUGCAAAACAUCCUUCCUUGAAGCCUAGCACUGAAGUAGAAGAUCCUGCUGUGAAAGGAGCAGUACAAAGAAAGAAUGUACAGACAUUGAGAGCAGAACAAGCCUUACCAGUGGCUUCAGAGGAAGAGCAAGAAAGGCAUGAAAGAAGUGAAAAGAAGCAACCACAGGUCAAAGAAGGAAAUAAUACAAACAAAAGUGAAAAAAUACAACUUUCAGAAAAUAUAUGUGAUAGUACAUCUUCUGCUGCUGCUGGCAGAUUAACCCAACAAAGAAAGAUUGGGAAAACGUAUCCUCAGCAAUUUCCCAAGAAGCUGAAGGAAGAGCAUGAUAGAUGCACCUUAAAACAAGAAAAUGAAGAAAAAACAAAUGUUAAUAUGCUGUAC
ensembl:lncRNA novel transcript